AAGGAGCACUUCUUACCAAGUUCGCUUGGUCAGAGGCCAGUACACCGGCGAAUGUUCGGUGCUGGUUGCUCAUGGGUGGAACGUUGACUAUUCGGCACGAUCGGUUGGUUUCUGUCAGUACUGCUCCUCGGAGCGUGGAACACAGGAGCGGAUGGAUUGUGCCGGGCACGCUGUUGGGUGUCUGAAGGUAUGGCCGUAAGGCUGCCUUCGGUUGCCGGCCCCAGUGAACUCGCCUGUAAGGGUGGGGUGAUGGGUGGCUGGUCGUUGUUUGAGAACUGCACAGGGACGCGAGCAUCUGG
rnacentral:misc_RNA from 1 species